UACGUAGGGCGCAAGCGUUGUCCGGAAUUAUUGGGCGUAAAGAGCUCGUAGGCGGCCUGUUACGUCUGCUGUGAAAUCCCGGGGCUUAACCCCGGGCGUGCAGUGGAUACGGGCAGGCUGGAGGCAGGCAGGGGAGAACGGAAUUCCCGGUGUAGCGGUGAAAUGCGCAGAUAUCGGGAGGAACACCGGUGGCGAAGGCGGCCAUCUGGGACAACACUGACGCUGAGGCACGAAAGCGUGGGGAGCAAACAGG
rnacentral:rRNA from 1 species